rnacentral:ncRNA from 1 species
UAAAAAUUUAUGAUUUUGUGAAUUUAUUUAUAAUUUAUUUUACAUGUAAAUUUUAGUAUGAAUUUUACAUUAUUUUAAUAAUAAUAAUUUAUUUAACAGUAAUUAAUAUUAAAAAUUUAAGAAAUUAAGAUUUAGUAAUAUUAAAAUUAAUAACAAAUUUUGUGCCAGCAGUUGCGGUUACACAAAAAUUAAGGUAAAUUUUUUUUAGUUAUAAUAAAUAUAAUAAAUUUUAAAUUAAACAUUAAAUUAUUAAGUGAAAUUUUAAUUAAAGAAAAAUUUAUAUUUAAAAUAUGAUUUAAUAAAUUUAUAAAAAGACUAGGAUUAGAUACCCUAUUAUUAAAAAUUUAAAUUAUAAUACUAAAAUAGUAAAUUAUUAUUAUUGAAACUUAAAUAAUUUGGCGGUAUUUUAGUUCAUUUAGAGGAAUCUGUUUAAUAAUUGAUAAUCCACGAAUAAAUUUACUUAAUUUAAUAUUUUGUAUAUCGUUGUUAAAAAAAUAUUUUUAAAUAAAAAUAAUAUUUAAAAAUUAUAAUAAAAAUUAGUUCAGAUCAAGAUGCAGAUAAUAAUUAAGAAUAUAAUGGAUUACAAUAAAUAUAUUUAAAUGAAUUUUUUUUUGUAAAAAAAAAUUGAAGGUGGAUUUAAAUGUAAUUUUAUUUAAUUUAAUAAAAUGGUUAAAAAUUAAAAUAUGUACAUAUUGCCCGUCACUUUCAUUUUAAAGUUGGAAUAAGUCGUAACAAAGUAGAGGUACUGGAAAGUGUUUCUAGAAAGAC